rnacentral:rRNA from 1 species
CAGUAGCCACGGUAAUACGGAGGGCGCGAGCGUUACCCGGAUUUACUGGCGUAAAGGGCGUGUAGGCGGCCUGGGGCGUCCCAUGUGAAAGGCCACGGCUCAACCGUGGAGGAGCGUGGGAUACGCUCAGGCUGGAGGGUGGGAGAGGGUGGUGGAAUUCCCGGAGUAGCGGUGAAAUGCGCAGAUACCGGGAGGAACGCCGAUGGCGAAGGCAGCCACCUGGUCCACUUCUGACGCUGAGGCGCGAAAGCGUGGGGAGCAAACCGGAUUAGAUACCCCGGUAGUCCCUGUCUCUUAUACA